GGGGGCGAUCGGCUUCGACCGGAUGUUGAUCCGUCCUGAUGUGGCGCGCCGAGGGCCAGGCACCUCGUGAAUCCGACUGGACAAAUCUAAGUGCCAACACGCACUACUCCCUCGCUGCCUAAAAUAUAGGCGCGACGCGGCGGCCCCUUCGCCUACGGGGGGUCGGCGCGACACACAGUAGGCUGGUCACCUGGCGGCUGCUCGGCCCGUCGGUGGCGAGACUUCGUCGAGCUGGUUCGCUGCGAUCCUGUUCGUCGGAGCUCAGCGGGCGACACCAAUAGACGGACUACGCGCGUAGAAGCUCAGGACGAGGCAUUCUGGGACGCGGGUUCGAUUCCCGCCGCCUCCACCA
rnacentral:tmRNA from 1 species